AUGCAAAAAAAUAAAUUACAUUACUUAGGCAUUAGAGUCAAAUUUACAUUUUAUUUUAUAUUAUCAUAUACUACGUAUACAUUAUGAAUGUUUUAUUGUAUACAUUAUCAUGUACUACAUAUUCAUUAUGAAUGUUUUAUUGUUUGCAUUAUUAUGUACUACAUAUUUAUUAUGGAUGUUUUUUAGUGUAUAUAAUUAUGUCAUUAUGCAGUUAAAAUACCCGGCCUACGGACGGGUUCUCAACUAGUUAUACAUGUUGACGACUCUGUGAAUCCCGUAAGAGAUUUGGAAGUUAUAACUGCAGAAUUACGGCUGAAGGGUUGGUUAGGGUUGUUUGCAUCUUUCAGUCUCCAAAGAGCUGGAAUGAAUCGGAAUCAAUGGUUUUGAUGUUGAUUCUGUUUUGAAUGAAUCAGAAUGAAAAGCCUGGAACAGUUUGGAGCUCUGCAAGAGUGUCAAGUAUGGGUCGAACACAUUUGGGUUUCAUUGGCUAUGAUGGCAUUGAACGACGAUAACAUCAGGUGAGACAGAUAAAGAUUAAAGACAACUCACUACAAGGACCAAACAAUGUGCACAAGACACAUCUAUUAUUAAUAGUGCUAGACAUUCUCCCACAACAUCAAACCUUUUGAAGUUCAACCUUUUCGUUUUAGAUAUUGCUUUAUAAAAGGUAUAAAACAAUGGUCCAUGUAAUUACAUGUAUUAAAAUUGUACCUAGUGUAAUUAACAUUAUAAACCUAAUAGAAGUUCAACCUUUUGGU
rnacentral:lncRNA from 1 species